rnacentral:misc_RNA from 1 species
GAUGAAGAACGCAGCGAAAUGCGAUACUUGGUGUGAAUUGCAGAAUCCCGUGAACCAUCGAGUUUUUGAACGCAAGUUGCGCCCGAAGCCGUUAGGCCGAGGGCACGCCUGCCUGGGCGUCACACGUCGUUGCCCCCCCAUCUACUCCUUCGGGAUUGCGGGGGGCGGAUGAUGGCCUCCCGUGCGCCUCGUCGCGCGGUUGGCCUAAAUGCCAAGUCCUCGGCGACGCACGCCACGACAAUCGGUGGUUGCGAAACCUCGGUUGCCCGUCGUGUGCGGUCGUCGCGCAUCGAGGGCUCGAAAAAAUUGCCGGGCUUCGGCUCGACUUUCAACGCGACCCCAGGUCAGGCGGGGUUACCCGCUGAAUUUAAGCAUAUCAAUAAGCGGAGGA